rnacentral:rRNA from 1 species
UACAUAGGUCUCAAGCGUUGUUCGGAUUCAUUGGGCGUAAAGGGUGCGUAGGUGGCGCCGUAAGUCAGGUGUGAAAUUUCGGAGCUUAACUCCGAAACUGCAUUUGAUACUGCGGUGCUUGAGGACUGGAGAGGAGACUGGAAUUCACGGUGUAGCAGUGAAAUGCGUAGAUAUCGUGAGGAAGACCAGUGGCGAAGGCGGGUCUCUGGACAGUUCCUGACACUGAGGCACGAAGGCCAGGGGAGCAAACGGG